CACGGGGGGAGCAAGCGUUGUUCGGAAUCACUGGGCGUAAAGGGCGUGUAGGCGGUCAGGUAAGUGGAAUGUGAAAGCCCUCGGCUCACCCGAGGAUCUGCAUUCCAAACUGCCUGGCUUGAGUAUGGGAGAGGAUGAGGGAAUUCCUGGUGUAGCGGUGAAAUGCGUAGAUAUCGGGAGGAACACCGGUGGCGAAGGCGGUUCUCUGGGCCUGUACUGACGCUGAGGAGCGAAAGCGUGGGGAGCGAACAGG
rnacentral:rRNA from 1 species